GCCUGUGUGGUGUAGUGAGUUUGAGUGUUGGACUACGACUCUGGAAGCCAGGGUUCAAGUCCCUUCUUGGCCA